UGGGGAAUAUUGGGCAAUGGGGGAAACCCUGACCCAGCAACGCCGCGUGAGGGAAGAAGGCUUUCGGGUUGUAAACCUCUGUCGCAGGGGACGAAAGAAAUGACGGUACCCUGUGAGGAAGCCCCGGCUAACUACGUGCCAGCAGCCGCGGUAAUACGUAGGGGGCGAGCGUUGUCUGGAAUUACUGGGCGUAAAGGGUGCGUAGGCGGCUGUUUAAGUUGGAUGUGAAAUGCCCGGGCUUAACUUGGGAGGUGCAUUCAAAACUGGACGGCUAGAGUGCAGGAGAGGGAAGCGGAAUUCCUAGUGUAGCGGUGAAAUGCGUAGAUAUUAGGAGGAACACCAGUGGCGAAGGCGGCUUUCUGGACUGUAACUGACGCUGAGGCACGAAAGCGUGGGGAGCAAACAGG
rnacentral:rRNA from 2 species